rnacentral:misc_RNA from 1 species
AAAAUUGGGUAAUGAAAUUCAUCUAAUCAAAAUUAUUUGCAGGACAACCGAUGAAUCAAAUUAGACCCUCAAGACAAUAGGUGGAGGCUUGAUUCCAGGUCAUGCAAGCUCACAGUGGCCAAGCAACUCCAAUUACAUUAAAAAGUAAGUUCACCCAUGCAAAGGAUGCAACAGAAAUACUGCUUGGUCUCUAAACCAGCAAAUAACUUUAACUUACAAGCAAUUCAGCCUACGACUCGACUUACAUCAAGGUGAUGGUUGAUAUGUACAUCCUGGGCCCGGGGGUAGUGGGGUGUUUGGUGUGGCGCGGCUGGUGCUGGGGUUCAUGGACGCCCAAGUACUUUGACGCAUUGCUCUAUCCUAUUACCAAGUGCCAUGAUCUAUCUCACACAAAUUGCUUAGGACAUAAACAAUGCUUGUGAGUGCACAUAAAUGAUCACUCAUUUAGUAUCAUCUGGGGUUGGUUCUUGGAGUUGCCUGAGGUUGGGCUUCUGAUCCUUUAAUUUUGCCAGAAUUGUGGGAUCCAUGGCCUUCAGAUUUUCCUUCGUCUAGAUCUUGGGGAUGUUUGAUUUCCAAAGAUUUUCCUCCAUCUUGGAGAUUAUCCGAUUUUCUAGAUUUUUCAAAAUUUUUAUGUGAUUGACCUUCUGUUCCCAGCCCUUUUUCUGGAUUUUGAACAGAAUGAACUUCUGAACCUUGGCUCUUCUCAGGGAUUUGGGGUGAUUGACGGACCUCUGAUCCUCUAACUUUACUAGUUGUAGUUGCUUGACCUGAAGGUCGACCUUUAUCCAUAUUUUGGAGUUCACUGGUAAGCUGGCUUCGUCGUUCCUUCAAAAAAUUGAGUCUGGUUGUCAACUUUGUCAGUGCAGAAGUUGUGGAAUUCAAUCCCUCAAUCCUUGAGCUAGACUUUUUGGAAUUGGUUGAAGAUCUGGAGUUGCUACUACGUGCUGGAUCUGGCUGCUGGCUUUGAGGUGGAGUCUUGUUUGAUAAAUUAGUUGAUUUGUCUGCACAAGUAUCCUUAUUUGCAGACCUUCCAACAUUUGAAGUUGCAUUAGCUUCAGUAUCUCUCUGUUUAUCUUUCCACUUUGCUUGAUGGUUUGAAGUAUGCAUUGGCUGAUUGCUUGAAUCACGCGUGGAGCCAUGGUUUUGCUCGCACUGUUGAUUCAGCUGCACACUGAGAUCAUCAACCUUCUGCUUCAUAUUGAAAUCUGCCUCUGCUUGACUUACUUCCUCAAGCUCUUUCUUCACUUUUUCCCCAACAAUAGCUGGAACAGAUUGGUGUGCCUGAGAUUCGUUAAGUCCUGCUUCCAGAAUCAUCCUCUUUUCUCUCUCCUUUUGCAGCUCUUCCUGCAGUCUUGCCACAUCUUGCUCAAGGGCUAGACGGCGCUCAUGCAAGGCCUUCUUUCGUUUUUCCAAGUUGGCUUGCAAAACUGCAUUAACUUUAACCUCUUCAGAAAUUCUAUGUUGCAAGUCAAUUUUAGCAGACUCCAGCUUCUGGAUUUCAACUUCGUCAUCAAAAGUGUAAUCAGUGGAUGCCAUAGAAACAUUCUUCCUUGCCUGAACUCCAGUCCAAAAGUAAAGGGGGAAAAAGAAUAUCAGAUCAGAAAUAGCUAUUACUUGUAAUAUAAACUCAGAGAUAUAUGCAGAUGGAUCACCAGUUUGCAUGUUCUCCAAAUUUGUUUCCCCAGGGAAAUCUCCUACUAAUUCAUGUGACUCAAUGAUUUGAGUAGCCAAAUUAUUGUAACUUUGGCCCUGAAUAUUCUCACUCUUUUCUGCAUCAUGAUGUGAGGGUAAUGAAAUUUGAACUGAAUUUGACAAUUCUUCAACUCUACAAUCAUUAUCUACUUGAGCGGACUUGGAAUCGGGGCUAUGAUCAUCACCCUUACUGUGAGAUAUAUCAUUGUCCUCUGAUUCACCACUGUCAGUUCCAGUUGAUGCAUUUCCAAGAUCAUCAUCUGAAUAUGCAUCAGACUCUUGUGAUGCAUCAUCCUCAUCAUCAUCUUCAUAGGAUUCAUCAUCAUCUGUUACCUCCUCAUCCUCACUUUCAUACUCAUCUGAGUCGGAGUAUAAUCCAGGGGACAUGAUUCCUUCACUGAAUAUCUUAUCAUACUCCUCCAAUAAUAUUAUAACAAUGGCUUGAGCAUGAUUAGCUGCAGCAGCUGCUUGCAGAAGUUGAAGAGAACCAUCACCUCCCACAUCAAAAUCAUUUUCAAUUUCACACUCACCAGCUAGAAGGGGACGCAGAAGUAAAGGUGCCAUACAAGCAGCAACAGCUGAAGUGCUCAUUCGAUUCUCAGCUUUGUGGGAAGCCACAGUUUGCAUCAUCAACAGAAUUCUUUGUAAUAAGCGACGGUUUGGCUCAGGGAAGGUUUCUAAUAUUGCUACUCGCAUGGCAUUAACUCGAUUGCCACGAUCUUUUCGAAAUGCUUCUAGCAGUGCUUUGCAGCAAGAUGCAGGGACUGGAGAGGAUGGCAACUCACGGAGGAAAAACUUGACACAAUCAGCAAUCACAUGUGCAUCUUCCUCUGGAGAGAACUCUGAUUUUCCUUGUUCAUAUUCCUGAAUUCGAUGCUCAACAUCAUCAACAGCUGCAGCUUGACGUAAAAUUCCUUCCACCUUGACUCCGUGCUCUUCUAUAUACCUAAGAGCCUUUUCUAGGAAAGACGGAGAUCCAUCAACAUCUUCUAAAGCAAGUAAAACUGGUCUGCCAAUGACCAUAGCUUUUUUGGGCACUUUAUCCUUCAACGUUACCGCACACUGGUCCAAAGAACAAUCAAUUUCAUCAUUCUGAUCGUUCUUGAAGAUACCAUUUUGCCCCAUCACAAGAGCAGCACUUGGUGCUCCUGCCAGAGCAUUCUCAAGUGCAGUCUUCCACUCAUAUAAAUCUUCUAAAGUUUCAGCCUUAAGAGUGAAAGCUCGCCCAUCACGACCAUCAGGAAAGAGAACAGUCAAAAGUUUUUUGUCUGAUUUCACAACCACACUGCCUGAAUUGUUGAGAUCAAUACCACCAAGAGUCAAGUUCACUUCACUCCCUUUUUGAGUAACAACACUUGGAUCACUUCGGAAGAAAACCAGUGAAGUUCGUGUAAGAAUAAACCACCGCUUCUUCCAGGAUGUCCAACCAAUUCCUUUAGAUGAUAUAAAAAGAGGCCCACUCUUGAAAACCGUAUUCCCAGCCCGGGAACCAACAUUUUCAGACUGUCCCUGCGGCGGAGUUCCCGCAGGAGGUUGAGCAGCACCGCCAUCUCCCUGAGACAAUUCUGUGUUUGUGUUCUUGUUCGUAGUCAUCACUUGAUCCGCGAAUCACUAAAAAUCGCAUCUCAGUGGACGAUCAGCAAGCGAAUACACUCUGCACCCGGUUUUGGAUAGGGAGAAAGAGGAGAAAAGAGAAGAGAAGCAAGCGUAAAGAUAGAAAGAGAACAGAAGCGAGACUUUUUUGAGAAAAUUUCUUUUCCUUUUUUUUUCCCCCUUAGAUAGCUGUGGUGGUAGUUUCUCCUUUCUCUCCAGAAUUGAUUUUCCAACAGAAACCCGGUGGUCAAGCAAAUAACCUCCGCAAAGAAAGCGGGGGUCUCUCCUAACACGAGGCAGUGGCACUUGUACACGUCAUACGCGUUCUUCUCUCAGCGAACGUGUUGGAGGGAGUAUAUGAUUCAUGGAGGGCAUUCCCUGUAACUUCCACUCAUGUCACAGUCUGUCUAUUUCUUGCAAACUCACCCCUUCGCGUUGUUUUCAUUGUGCCCUUGUCAUUGGCUUGGCCGCUCAAUUGUAUGUUAUGUUCCUG